GACGAGGUGGCCGAGUGGUUAAGGCGAUGGACUGCUAAUCCAUUGUGCAUGGGUUCAAAUCCCAUCCUCGUCG